UCCCUCCUCGCGAUCCUCCCGACGUCCUCGCGCCGCCGUCCUCUUCUUCUUUGCGACUCCUCUGUGCACGACGCCCUGACCGACGCCGGCGAGUCCUCGGCACUCCGCGUGCGCCUCGCAUCCAACGCCGGGGAGGAUCGCGUGACUCCGCCCGCGUCGUCGCCUCCGACGCUGGCCUCUCCUUCACCACCGUCCCUGCCGGCAGGGUCCCCCUCGUCAUGGCCUUCCUCGCCUGGGUGUACGUCACCAGCUGGCCAUAUGGCAGGACGCGCAGACCCGGGCGAUCCUCUCCGGCCUCCUUGAGAAGAGCUCGACUCCAGCCCGGCGACGACGAUGACCUGAUUCCUACCCGUGGACGAUGAUGUGCUCUGGCCCAACCGCAUCGACCUCAACAAGCCUCGUCAAGAAUCGUCACCGUGGGCUGCGCCCCUCUCUUCCUUCACGACCAGGAGUUGUCGAGGAGAACCAUCAACUUGAUUGAUUGGUUGUCUACUUGAAAAGAAAAGAAGAUGAAGACGAAUGAGUGGAUCUGAAGGAGAGAGGGCGAGAAGAAGAGGCGCCGUGUGUCUUGUAGUGGGUGAGAAUUGUCUAGCCGGCAAUGGAUUUCCAGCAAGGGUGGCAGAGAAAAAUCCAUGACGAGAUGAACACCACCACGACAGCAUCAUGAAUGUCAUCGAGUUCUCUUGGGCAAUAAAACUGCAGUCACUGGAGGGAGCAAACCAAAUGACCAUAUAUCUACUACUCAGAUCACGGGGGUUCUGGAGUCCUUGGCGUGUGCAAGUAUGCCCAACCUGCCAUAUCUCUAUGCUGCGGAUUUUAUCAAGGUCUUACAAGAAAAACAUGCAUCCAACACCUACGCAAAAAUGACCUCAAUAUUUAUGUCACAACAGCAUCUAAUGCAGAAGAAAGCACCUGGGGUACAUACUGCCCAGGAAUGGAGCCAUCGCCUCCUUCUGAGUAUAUUACCUGCUUAGGUGAUCUCUACAGUAUUUCCUGGAUGGAAGACAGCAGCCGUAUGUGCACUGCUUGUGCUAGGCGCCGAUCUGGAGGCCCCUGAUCGGAAGGGAAGCCACUGGAGCUGCUGCGGGAGAUGGUGGCGGUACGCUGGUAGAGCUUGGAGCAGACGUGGAGGGGCCGGACCUGCUGGUCCUUGAAGGUGCUGAAGGUGCUUUGAGAAAAAAAUCAGUUAGGUGUACAUGUACUAAGAAAAGGAACGGCUUGUGUUCCACGAUGGUACGUGCCGCAGUAUACUCAACGGAUGGCAGGUUCUUAUAUGCCAUAUGGAGAGGGAGAACCAGGUGCCUGAGGGACAUCGAGCUUUCCCAUGUCUUCUUCCUUCCAUUCAACGUUGUUAAGAUUUUGAAGAUUUUUGGCGAUCUGAACUCGCGUGACAUGGACCCUCUGCAACGGACUCUUGGCUUACAUCAACCAUUUUGUUGACCAAGUACCUGUAUUGCGGCAUGAUCCAAGGAGUGGAUCACUGCAUAUAUCCUGACAUGACUGGUCUGUUAUUGUUAUCUUCUUGGGAGUACUUGAGAAGGCGUGGCGGGGAAGGUGGGGACACGCCAUGGCAGAGGCCAGUGGCAAACCUACGUGUAAGCCCUGAGGUCCGGGGAAGGUAGCUUUAUUUGGCAAUGCCAAUGAUCAAGUUAGGGAUGCACAAGUCAACCAUGAGAUGUCGGAGACUGAUGUGGAUGCGCAAGGGCAGCGCUGGCCUCUGCCUAGAAGGGCAAUCACAGUGUACAGAGCUCUAGCAGCACUACGCCGUCAUCCUCUGCCUCACCCCGGCCGCAUGAAUUUCAAGAGAUGCAAGGAAGUAGGAGGAAGAAGAAAUGCAGGCGACCUCAUGAAAGUCACAGCAGCAAAGAUCCACAGUCUGUUAUUGUUAUCUUCUUGGGAGUACUUGAGAAGGCGUGGCGGGGAAGGUGGGGAAACGCCAUGGCAGAGGCCAGUGGCAAACCUACGUGUAAGCCGUGAGGGUAUUCUUGCUGGCGUCGUCGCUAGCAGAGGCGCAUGGUCGACAGGAAGAGCCGGGGCAUUGACACUUUUCGUGCUACCAACACUACAUACCAGCCAGUCCGGAGGAGGCCAGCAGUGCCGACGACGGCUCUGCGAUGGGGAAAGGUCGCUCAUCAUUGCGGCACCAGCAGUUCGACGAUCACAUUAUAUCCGCGUGUUGAUGAGCAACAUGACUCUCCGCCCUUCCUCCCUCCAGGAAGAGACAUGAUCAUAUCGAUCACCAGUCAUGGAGUCAAGUGGUUGUUGUCGUCAAGCUAAAUGUUGGUGAGUGCCAAAUGAGAUAUAUGUUCUAAUAUUCCUGAGCUGGACAUUAUGGUAAAAUAUUAAUUUUAGAAAUUUUGCCAAUCAUACCGGUCUGUAGCUAUAUCACAUUGCAAAAUUCCAUGAACAUGGGGUCCACAUUAUUUUUCACAUUGCAAAAUUCCAUGAACAUGUGGUCCACAUUAUUUUUCUAUUAUAUUUUUCCUGCCCAAGCGUGGAUGCAGGUGGAUGUGGGCGCUGCGGCUGCCACCAAGGAUGUAGGGGUCAUGCUACAACCGGUGAGGACACAAUAGGCACUUUUUUUUGGGAUGGAGGGAGUAUUACAUUCCUUGUAAUCGCAUGCUAUAUUUUCAGUGGGAAUUCAUUGACACAGUUCCUUACAAAAGUUGUAUCUUUGACAUAGGCAAACUGCUCAAGUGAUUAUAUCAUCCAUUCUGAUUUUGAGGGAAAUAUAUCCAAAUGAACAGUA